rnacentral:rRNA from 1 species
AACGGCUCAUUAAAUCAGUCUUGGUUUAUUUGGUCCUUGCGAGAGCUAACGUGGAUAACUGUGGCAAUUCCAGAGCUAAUACAUGCGACCGAGCGCCGACUCCGGGAGGCGCGCUUUUAUUGGUUCGAACCCGACCGGGCCUUCGCGGGCCCGUCUCUUUCGAUGACUCUGGAUAACCACGCGGAUCGCACGCCUUCGCGGCGGCGACCUACCAUUCAAGUGUCUGACCUAUCAACUUUCGAAGGUAGGCUACGGGCUUACCUUUGUGAUAACGGGUGACGGGGAAUCAGGGUUCGAUUCCGGAGGCGGGAGCCUGAGAAACGGCUACCACAUCCAAGGAAGGCAGCAGGCGCGCAAAUUACCCAUUCCCGACACGGGGAGGUAGUGACGAAAAAUACCGAUGCGGGACUCUAACGAGGCCCCGCAAUCGGAAUGAGUACAUUCUAAAACUCUUGUCGAGUAUCCAUCGGAGGGCAAGUCUGGUGCCAGCAGCCGCGGUAAUUCCAGCUCCGAAAGUGUAUGCUAAAGUUGUUGCGGUUGAAAAGCUCGUAGUUGGAUGAAGAGCGCGCGGCGCCGGUCCGUCCGUCGAAGGGCGUGCACCGGCGUCGAGAGUUCCGCCUGUCGGCGCUUCCCGGGUGUUCUUGAUCGGGUGCACGGGGUGACCGACGAGUUUACUUUGAAAAAAUUAGAGUGUUCAAAGCAGGUUUUUCGCCUGCAUAGUGUUGCAUGGAAUAAUGGAAUAAGACCUCGGUCUCGUUUCGUUGGCGUUCGCGAGUGCGAGGUAAUGAUUGAGAGGGACAGCCGGGGGCGUCC